rnacentral:misc_RNA from 1 species
ACGAGAUCAUGCCCUCACGGGUAGACCUCCCACCCUUGAAUACCACACCUUUGUUGCUUUGGCGGGCCGCUUCGGCCACCGGCUUAGGCUGGUGAGUGCCCGCCAGAGGACCCUAAACUCUGAAUUAUGUGUCGUCUGAGUACUAUACAAUAGUUA